UGGGAACUGGUUUGGAAGGUGUUCUAACCAGGGCGGGAAUUCAACUGACCUUUGGGUCAUCUUUGGUUGGCUUUGGGAAGCCUUUAGAGACUUAAUUGGAGCGGAGUUGAGACCUAUUGGAGUUGAUUGUGGGACAUAGUACGAGAGCCUUCCACAGCGGG